AAAUCCGAUGGGUAAUCGGGCAUCAGAAUUCAUCGAUAUGUAACCCUGAUCGAAGAGUCCCAAACUAGUGGGACUCUUGACCCCGGUACCCAAAAUGUGUGGGACUCAUGAUCAUAGAAUUCUGAUUCUUGAUCACAGAGUCCCAGACAUGUAGGACUCAUAAUCCAUGAGCAUUAGGACUCUUCAUCAGCCAUCAGAUCAGAUAGGAAUCUCUAAUGUGUGUGACCCCGCAGGUUCGAACCUA
rnacentral:lncRNA from 1 species